AUUGAACGCUGGCGGCAGGCCUAACACAUGCAAGUCGAGCGAGCGGCGGACGGGUGAGUAAUGUCUGGGACACUGCCUGAUGGAGGGGGAUAACUACUGGAAAAGGUAGCUAAUACCGCAUACCAUCAGAUGUGCCCAGAUGGGCUUAGAUAGUAGGUGCGGUAACGUCUCACCUAGGCAACGAUCCCUAGCUGGUCUGAGAGGAUGACCAGCCUCAAUGUAACUGAGACACGGUCCAGACUCCUACGGGAGGCAGCAGUGGGGAAUAUUGCACAAUGGGAGCAAGACUGAUGCAGCCAUGCGGCGUGUAUGAAGAAGGCCUUCGGGUUGUAAAGUACUUUCAGCGGGGAGGCGUUACCCGCAGAAGAAGCACCGGCUAACUCCGUGCCAGCAGCCGCGGUAAUUC
rnacentral:rRNA from 1 species